UAGUAGUCAGAAGAUUAUGAAGAGCGUCUCAGAUAGAUCAGAAGUGUAAAGAAUACUGUAAGUGAUGAUUUUGAAUGAUAUAUAAAUAAUGUUUUUUUUUUAAAAGUACGGGUUCCAUAUGAUAUUAGUCCUUGUCCGGACGAACUAACUAUCAGGUAUUGCUUUCUUGGGUUGAAAAGCCUAGAGUGGUAUCCGAUAGGAGCGUUGGU
rnacentral:lncRNA from 1 species